GAAGCCUGCGACUUCCCUCUGCCCAGCCCAGCCCACUGCCUGGAUGCCUGCUGCCCCCAGCCCACGGAAGCUGGUUGGGCCCCUCGCUGUCCUCGCUGCUGUCCACUCUGCGACUGUGCCUGUGCGUGCCAGCUGCCUGACUGCCAGAGCCUCAACUGUCUCUGCUUUGAGAUCAAGCUCCGAUGAGGACCCGGAGUCCUUGCCCCUUGGAGAGUGGCCAACCCCCAGGGCCCCCACGCCCUGUUCCCUGACGGGGCCUCCAGGCACCUUCUCCAGGCCCCUGGAACCACAUAUGGCCUGCCCAGCUCAUUGGGCUGUGCAGAGCCUGGCUCCCAGCAGAGCAGGACUCAGAGAGCCCCCGGGCAUUUGGACUGUCCUUUGGAGGGCCAGGAGGGAGAGGGCCUAGCACUCUGGCAGGGGACCCCACCUGCCUAUCCUUCUCUCCAUGUAAACCGUUAUCAUUGAAGGUGAGGGUGGGAGACACUGCUCACCACAGACCAUCUAUGGGACAAACUUGAACCUGGAGUAUGAAGAUAUAGGGCUGCCCCAGCCACACCUUGGCUGUGGAUUCUUGGUUAUCUUGAGAUCCCUGUGCUGAGAUCGAUUUCUCUUGACCGCCUCUGAGGGCUUCAGGCUGGAUUUCCAAGAAAAUUUCCUCUA